rnacentral:misc_RNA from 1 species
AAGUCGUAACAAGGUUUCCGUAGGUGAACCUGCGGAAGGAUCAUUAAUGAUUUUAAAGCGAGUCGAGCGUUAAGCGAGGCUUGCGAAAAUAUUUAAAACCCCCACUCUUUUUAACUUUAAAAAAAAUAAAUCAUGAUACAUGAAUUUAAAAAAAAGAUCACUUUCAACAACGGAUCUCUUGGCUCUC